GUCUAUGGCCAUACCACUCUGAAUGUGCUUGAUAUCGUCUGAUCUCGGAAGCUAAGCAAGUAAGGCCUGGUUAGUACUUGAAUGGGAGAUAAAUUUAUUAAGUUAAACAUUGUGAAGG
rnacentral:rRNA from 1 species